AGGGUUAUAGCUCAGUGGCAGAGCAUGUGUUUCGCAUGCACGAGGUCCUGGGUUCAAUCCCUAGUAUCUCUA
rnacentral:tRNA from 1 species